UUGAUCCUGGCUCAGAUUGAACGCUGGCGGCAUGCCUUACACAUGCAAGUCGAACGGCAGCACGGGAGCAAUCCUGGUGGCGAGUGGCGAACGGGUGAGUAAUACAUCGGAACGUGCCCAAUCGUGGGGGAUAACGCAGCGAAAGCUGUGCUAAUACCGCAUAAGAUCUACGGAUGAAAGCAGGGGAUCGCAAGACCUUGCGCGAAUGGAGCGGCCGAUGGCAGAUUAGGUAGUUGGUGAGGUAAAGGCUCACCAAGCCUUCGAUCUGUAGCUGGUCUGAGAGGACGACCAGCCACACUGGGACUGAGACACGGCCCAGACUCCUACGGGAGGCAGCAGUGGGGAAUUUUGGACAAUGGGCGCAAGCCUGAUCCAGCCAUGCCGCGUGCAGGAUGAAGGCCUUCGGGUUGUAAACUGCUUUUGUACGGAACGAAAAGGUCUUUUCUAAUAAAGAGAGCUCAUGACGGUACCGUAAGAAUAAGCACCGGCUAACUACGUGCCAGCAGCCGCGGUAAUACGUAGGGUGCAAGCGUUAAUCGGAAUUACUGGGCGUAAAGCGUGCGCAGGCGGUGAUGUAAGACAAUUGUGAAAUCCCCGGGCUCAACCUGGGAACUGCAUCUGUGACUGCAUCGCUGGAGUACGGAAAAGGGGGAUGGAAUUCCCCGUGUAGCAGUGAAAUGCGUAGAUAUGCGGAGGAACACCGAUGGCGAAGGCAAUCCCCUGGGCCUGYACUGACGCUCAUGCACGAAAGCGUGGGGAGCAAACAGGAUUAGAUACCCUGGUAGUCCACGCCCUAAACGAUGUCAACUGGUUGUUGGGUCUUCACUGACUCAGUAACGAAGCUAACGCGUGAAGUUGACCGCCUGGGGAGUACGGCCGCAAGGUUAAAACUCAAAGGAAUUGACGGGGACCCGCACAAGCGGUGGAUGAUGUGGUUUAAUUCGAUGCAACGCGAAAAACCUUACCCACCUUUGACAUGUACGGAAUUUGCCAGAGAUGGCUUAGUGCUCGAAAGAGAACCGUAACACAGGUGCUGCAUGGCUGUCGUCAGCUCGUGUCGUGAGAUGUUGGGUUAAGUCCCGCAACGAGCGCAACCCUUGUCAUUAGUUGCUACAUUUAGUUGGGCACUCUAGUGAGACUGCCGGUGACAAACCGGAGGAAGGUGGGGAUGACGUCAAGUCCUCAUGGCCCUUAUAGGUGGGGCUACACACGUCAUACAAUGGCUGGUACAAAGGGUUGCCAACCCGCGAGGGGGAGCUAAUCCCAUAAAACCAGUCGUAGUCCGGAUCGCAGUCUGCAACUCGACUGCGUGAAGUCGGAAUCGCUAGUAAUCGUGGAUCAGAAUGUCACGGUGAAUACGUUCCCGGGUCUUGUACACACCGCCCGUCACACCAUGGGAGCGGGUUCUGCCAGAAGUAGUUAGCCUAACCGCAAGGAGGGCGAUUACCACGGCAGGGUUCGUGACUGGGGUGAAGUCGUAACAAGGUA
rnacentral:rRNA from 1 species